AUUGAACGCUGGCGGCAGGCCUAACACAUGCAAGUCGAGCGAGCCGCGGACGGGUGAGUAAGGUCUGGGCCACUGCCUGAUGGACGGGGAUAACGACUGGAACCCGUAGCUAAUACCGCAUACCGUCGUAUGUGCACUGAUGGGUUUAGCUAGUCGGUGGGGCAAAGGCUCACCUAGGCGACGAUCCCUAGCUGGUCUGCGAGGAUGACCAGCCACACUGGAACUGAGACACGGCCCAGACUCCUACGGUAGGCAGCAGUGGGGAAUCUUGCACAAUGGACGAAAGCCUGAUAAAGCCAUGCCGCGUGUGUGAAGAAGGCCUUCGGAUUGUAAAGUACUUUCAGUGGGGAAGCGUUACCCAACGAAGAAGCACCGGCUAACUCCGUGCCAGCAGCCGCGGUAAUAC
rnacentral:rRNA from 1 species